CACUGCACUGGACAAAAAUACCCAUACUUUAAUUUAUUAUUUUACCAUUUUAUCCUUAGAUGUUAAACUAAUUUCUUUCCCAAUCUUAUUUGUUUUCAGAUUUGGGAACAAAACAACAGUUUCUCCCCUCGUUCUUGUUGGUUUCUCCCUUGUUCUUGCUGGUUUGUCCCUCGUUUCUGCUGGUUUCUCCCCUCUUUUUUGCAUUGUUCUUGGUUGUAGGAGCUUAGGAUAUUUUGUUUCUUCAAUCAGACUAACAAGUUAGAGAUAUCUUGUGUUUUUUCCCUCUAUUUUUUCAUGCUCAACAUUUACCCUUUUUCUCAAUUAACAGGGGAAGUCUACAUUAAUUAAUGCACUCUCAGAUAGUAAUCUGUAUAGUGAUGCAAGGUAUAUUUAUUCUUUAAAACAGUUUUUCCUCUUAAGUUAAAUUCUUUGUUAAAAGUAAAAGGAUGGAUGUUUUUACCUAAUUGGAGGCAAUGGCUUUGUGCAGAUUGUUUGCAACAUUGGAUGGUUGAUUAAAAAGUGUUGUUCUUCCUUCAGGGUGAGAUGGUUUGCUGUCACUCACUGUUAUUAUUGUUGUUAUUGUUAUUGCUUUUCUUUUGAGCAGUCUGGUUCUAAAUGAUAUACUGACCUUAUCCUAUAGGCAGCAACAUUUUAUCUUUUGAUCUUUGGACCUAUCAUUUAGCAUGCUUUACACACUAUUUAGUAAUAUUAUUACUAACUAUAAUUUUAAGUCAUACACAAUGAAAUUGCCUAAACAUCUAAACUCAAAAACAUUAUAACUUAAAGCUUGUAGGGCACAAACCGAAUUUCCAAGGCUUGUAACACUUGCUUAAGCAAAACAACACAAACAAAGGCAUGUAAUUAUUCCCGAUAACGAUCAAAUUAUACAGUAGAUCAAAGUUAGAACAGAAAAAAGUGGGAACUCGAAAAUAGUACCUCAAAGGAACUAGGAUAGGAGUCAAAUGGAGUCUCCCCUGCUUCAAUAGCAUCAGUCCCCA
rnacentral:lncRNA from 1 species